rnacentral:rRNA from 1 species
AUACGAAGGGUGCUAGCGUUGUUCGGAAUUACUGGGCGUAAAGAGCAUGUAGGCGGAUAGAUUAGUCAGAGGUGAAAGCCCCGAGCUCAACUCGGGAACUGCCUUUGAUACUGUUUAUCUAGAGACCGAGAGAGGUGAGUGGAAUUCUCAGUGUAGAUGUGAAAUUCGUAGAUAUUGGGAAGAACACCAGUGGCGAAGGCGGCUCACUGGCUCGGAACUGACGCUGAGAUGCGAAAGCGUGGGGAGCGAACAGGAUUAGAAACCCUAGUAGUCC